AACGUAGGAGGCAACCGUUAUCCGGAGUUACUGGGCGUAAAGGGCGUGUAGGUGGUUUCGUAAGUCUGGCGUGAAAUUUCUCGGCUUAACCGAGGCAGGUCGUCGGAUACUGCGGAACUAGAGGACGGUAGAGGCGUGUGGAAUUCCGGGUGUAGUGGUGAAAUGCGUAGAGAUCCGGAGGAACACCAGUGGCGAAGGCGACACGCUGGGCCGUACCUGACACUGAGGCGCGAUAGCAUGGGGAGCAAACAGG
rnacentral:rRNA from 1 species